rnacentral:rRNA from 1 species
UACGGGGGGGGCAAGCGUUGUUCGGAAUUACUGGGCGUAAAGGGCUCGUAGGCGGCCAACUAAGUCAGACGUGAAAUCCCUCGGCUUAACCGGGGAACUGCGUCUGAUACUGGAUGGCUCGAGUUUGGGAGAGGGAUGCGGAAUUCCAGGUGUAGCGGUGAAAUGCGUAGAUAUCUGGAGGAACACCUGUGGCGAAAGCGGCUCACUGGACCAUAACUGACGCUGAUGCACGAAAGCUGGGGGAGCAAACAGG